AGGUCCAGCCUGCCCAGUGAUAACAUUAAACGGCCGCGGUACCCUAACCGUGCGAAGGUAGCAUAAUCACUUGUUCUUUAAAUGAGGACUUGUAUCAAUGGCAUCACGAGGGUUUCACUGUCUCCUUUUUCUAAUCAGUGAAACUGAUCUCUCCGUGAAGAAGCGGAGAUUUUCUUAUAAGACGAGAAGACCCCAUGGAGCUUUAAACCCAAUUACACUCCUAUUUUUUAUUAACCUCUUAGACUAUGGAUGUUUGUAUAUUUGGUUUUAGGUUGGGGUGACCACGGAGCAUAACUUAGCCUCCAUGAUGAACGGGAUUUUACCCCUUAUCCAAGAACUACACCUCUAAGAACUAGUAUUCUAACAUAAAAUGAUCCGAUAAUCGAUCAACGAACCAAGUUACCCUGGGGAUAACAGCGCAAUCCACUUCAAGAGCUCCUAUCGACAAGUGGGUUUACGACCUCGAUGUUGGAUCAGGGUAUCCUAGUGGUGCAGCAAUUACUAAAGGUUCGUUUGUUCAACGAUUAAAACCCUACGUGAUCUGAGU
rnacentral:rRNA from 1 species